CUUUAGACCUCAAAUCAGUCAGGACUACCCGCUGAACUUAAGCAUAUCAAUAAGCGGAGGAAAAGAAACUAACAAGGAUUCCCCUAGUAACGGCGAGUGAAGUGGGAAAAGCUCAACUUUGAAAUCUGGCACUUUCAGUGUCCGAAUUGUAGUCUCAAGAAGUGUUUUCUGUGCUAGUCCGUGUAUGAGUCUGUUGGAACACAGCGUCAUAGAGGGUGACAACCCCGUUCAUGACACGGAUCCUAGUGCUUUGUGAUACACUCUCGAAGAGUCGAGUUGUUUGGGAAUGCAGCUCAAAUUGGGUGGUAAAUUCCAUCUAAAGCUAAAUAUUGGCGAGAGACCGAUAGCAAACAAGUACCGUGAGGGAAAGAUGAAAAGCACUUUGGAAAGAGAGUUAACAGUACGUGAAAUUGUUGAAAGGGAAACGAUUGAAGUCAGACGUGCGUGAUGCGGUUCAGCUCUGGUUCGCCAGAGUGUACUCCGUAUCUUUGCAGGCCAACAUCGGUUUUGUUAGUCGGAUAAAGGUUUGAGAAAUGUGGCACCUUCGGGUGUGUUAUAGUCUCAGACUGAAUACGAUUGAUGGGACCGAGGAACGCAGCGCGCCGCAAGGCAAAGGUUCCGACCUUUUCGCGCUUAGGAUGUUGGUGAAAUGGCUUUA
rnacentral:rRNA from 1 species